rnacentral:ncRNA from 1 species
UAGCGGGUUAAAGUCCCGUCCAAGGAAUUGUCCAUACGCCUUGGUAGCACGAAGGAGCGGCAUUCAAGUAAUUGAGUGUCGUGAGUUUCUAAACGACAAAGAUGCAGGCCGUAACGCAA